CGCCAUCCCCGGCCUCUGAGCCCACAGGCUCCUGUUUGGUUUGGGUUCUGUCUCUCCGCCGGGACACUGCGUUUCCCCACACGCCUUCCUCUCCCGGAAGGCACCUCCUGGUUCUCUCCCCGACCCAGUCCCAGUCCCAGUCCCACUGCUCACCAAGAAGGACUGAAGGGGACCCUCUGCGGGUUCAGGAGGCCCUGCCGCGGAAGUCCAACAGGUGACCUUCAGGAAGAUGGUAUGGCUUGGAAGUCGCCCAGAGACCCCAGCCUCUAAUGUCACCGUCUACAGAGACCAGCAGACAGGGACCGAAGAGGAAACCUUAAGACCUUCAUGGGGCGCGCGCCCCCAUCAUCUCCGAUGAGAUGCAGAGGGCCUCUCCAGGAGAUCCAAAGAAUCUUGACCUAUUCCAGGUGGUGGCCACCUCUGUCAAAGGAAUCCAGGUCGCUGGCCAAAGGAGGGGCAAAGGAGCCAAGCCACCAGAAGGGCCCCCACGGCUGGGUCUCGAUGGGCCUCGUCAAGCCCGGAACGUGUAGCCGUGUCAAAAAGUAAAGAAAUGUACAAUGACUGAUGUGGGCGUGUCAAGCACACCAGAGAGCCAGCUUGAAAGGCUUCCCACCGGCCAAGGCAAGAUAAGACAAUGAUAACAAUGGAUAUAACAUAGGUGCGGAGCCUUGUUAAACUGGCGAUGCGAUGACACACCAGUAUCAGUGAACAUUAAGCACCAGAUCUUGGUCUUCAAACAAAAUAAAAAGCAAAAGGGACCAGGGCUCCUUGGAGAACCACCCAGCCACCUCUUUGGGUCUUCAUUUUCCUAUGUGGUCCUCUAUGUACACGUAAAACUCCGUGUGCUUUCCUCCUGUUAUUCUGUUUUUUGUCCAUUUAAUUCUAAGGGCCUGCUGGAGACCCGGAAGGAUCAAAAUAAGGCUCUGGCUCCCCUACAGCUUGACCCAGGGUGAAGCAAUGCACGAGCAGGAGGCAGGCGUGUGAGAGCAGUUAAGGCGCACACCACUGACUUACCUUUUUCUGAUGUCUGUAAGAUGAUCCCUCCCACUCUCCCAAAGCGAGAGAAGGGGCUGAAGGAGACUAGGUUGGGGGCUGAUGGUGUAGACCAGCGGAUGCUCCCCCUGAGCUCAGGGACUGUUUUUUCACAGCUCUCGUGGAGGGGCCCAAGCAAAUGACCUUCAAAGACACUACUGUUGAAAAUGACCAAGGAGUGAGUGUUUCCAACUCUGUGAUUUCUCUGUAGGAAGGAUACAGUGUUAUUAAUCUUACCUGGACUCAGAGCUAGAAUCUGGAACAUGGUUGGAAUCUACUUUUUUAAGCCUGAGAUCAGUAAGUGAAUUCAUGAAGUAUAUUAAAAGCCUAUUACAUAGCCAUGCGCUAUUCCAGCCAAGUAUGAACGGAAGAGUCAACAAAAUAAGCAAGAAAGCCUGCCCUCAGGGAAGUUAGGUCCCAGUGGGUAGAGUCAGAAAACCCAAAUAUACACUGUGUUAGAUCCCUGCUUCUCACACGUCAACGUGUAUAGAAUCAACCGGGACUCUUGUUAAACCGGCGAUUAUGAUUUGGUAAGUUGUGCAAAGGUGAAGCCUAAGAUGCCGCAUCCUUUGGGGCAGGGGGAGCAGCAGAGGGUGAGGGAGAGGGAGAAAGUUACGCAGGUUCCACUGAGACCCUGAGAUCACGACCUGAGCUGGUAUCAAGAGUCCGAGGCUUAACCCAGUGUGCCGGCUAGGAGUCCCUAAGAUGCUGCAUUCUUAAGCAUGCCCCCAGGGUGGCAGGUGACGCUUCUGAGACUGCUGGUCACUGGACCACACUAAUGAAGGUUUUGAUAAAGCCUUGAUAAUAAUUCUGCAGGAAAGAAGAUGGGCAGGAAGAAGUGUUGAGUUGAAAAGGGGUUCUCAAUAAAAAUCUUAAAAAAAGAAGAAAGAAGAAAGAAGGAGGAGGAGGAGAAGGAGGAGAAAGAAGAAGAGGAAGAAGAAGAAGAAGAAGAAGAAGAAGAAGAAGAAGAAGAAGAAAAGAGAAGAAAGAGAAGAAAAGAGAAGAGAAGAGAAGAGAAGAGAAGAGAAGAGAAGAGAAGAGAAGAGAAGAGAAGAGAAGAGAAGAGAAGAGAAAGAAGAGAAAAGAGAAAAGAAAAGGCAGCUCGGGUGGCUCAGUGGCUUAGCGCCUGCCUUCGGCCCAGGCGAGAUCCUGGAGUCCCGGGAUCCAGUCCCGGGAUCGAGUCCCAAAUCGGGCUCCCUGCAUGGCGCCUGCUCCUCCCAUUGCCUGUGUCUCUGUCUCUCUCUCUGAAGAAUAAAUAAAAAUCUUAAAAAGAAAGAAAACGCGUUCUCCUGGUUUGGGUUUAGAACACAGGAGCAGGGCAGCCCAGGUGGCUCAGCGGUUUAGCGCCGCCGCCUUCAGCCCAGGGCUUGAUCCUGGAGUCCUGAGAUCGAGUCCCGCGUGGGGCUCCCGGCAUGGAGCCUGCUUCUCCCUCUGCCUGUGUCUGUGCCCCUCUCUCUGUCUUUCUUGAAUAAGUAAGAUCUUUAAAAAGCAAACAAAACAACCCACAGGGGAUUUGCUGAAAGCGACUUGCCUCUCGUUAUGUGAGUCUUUUCAAAGAUACCGAAAACCCUGAAAGAAAGGAAUUCUUUUUCCUAAAGGAUAUUAUUUCUUUAUUGCUGAGAGAGCCGGUCACCGCUCAAGCACCGAGGCGUCCCAAGGAAGGAAACUCCUCGCCACAUACAGAUACAACCGAAAGUGAGCACCGACGUGAGCGGUCAUAAGGACGACACGGGGACGGAUGACACGCGAGAAGCCCCGAAGGCCAAGCCGUAACCACAAGAAGGUCAAAGAAUAGCUCACGAGGCCUCCGAGGCGCACGCAGCCGGAAACGAGGUCUGAUCUUAGCCACCAGAAUCACCAGGGGAAAGCGCGAACGCAGUCCCCCACUACCACAAAUUAUGCAGUCGAGUUUCCCACAUUUGGGGAAAUCGCAGGG
rnacentral:lncRNA from 1 species